CUUAUUUUGAGUUUAGCGGAGGAGUUGUGUUGUCAUGAGUGGCGCAUGUCGCCCCCAACUUCCUUCCCAGGUGAGGUCUCUCCCUGGAAAAACUGAACAAACUUCUGUAGCUUAUCAAGACUUUUCCCUUCCCGCUACUGCUGGCUCCGUCUCGGCCGCCGCAGCAGCCAGUGCCCAGGCCCCGGUGCUGGGUGGCCGGCAGGUUCUUGUACACGGCCCGGCUGUACGGUAUGAAGCACAGGCCCAGCUGGAGGUGUCGGGCCAGGCGGCAGUAUGCGGCCAGCGCCAGGACCAGCAGAGGGGUGACCAAGAGGAAGCCCACCACCAGCAGAGCCACACAGCCUCCGUCAGUCAGCAGGUCUGAGCAGUAGGGGGUCGUCCCGUGAGGGCGGACCUGGGGAGACGAGACGAGAGGAGAAAGGCAGCAGUUGAAUGAUGUGGCGGUACAAUGCCCGAGAGCUAGGUUUCUCAUUCAACCUGUGUCCUGGUUAAUCCCUCUCUAAGCUGCUGUCACAUGAGGUCUAAUUGUAAGAGAGCAGGAGAACAGAGAGAAUCCUGGUCUCUGUGGUCAUUAAGGAGGCUGCUGGCCCACAGAAAUGCCAUUGAGUGGCACAGGAAGCCGAACACCACCAUGACGAUGGCCGGUGUCAGGAUGGUCCCGAACACCAGUCCGGCGAGGCAGGCGUUGAUCGCGGCGAUGACCAGGUUCUGCGCCGUCACCAGCACCGAGCAGGCCCAGCAGUCGAGGGACCCCCGCAGCUCGAGAGGGGCCUCGCUGCCCCCGCCGCCGCUCUCGGCUGCCGAGUAAGGAGGAGUCUGUUCAAUGGCAGCACCAACUGCCCCCUGGGUCUCAACAUCAGAGUUGCCAGGGUUACUGGUUGAAAGCACCAUCUGAGAGUAAACUGGAGUUUUGGUUAUGGCUGAGGAGACGCAGGAAGGGGAGCGCUGUCACCGGGAGGAGGUGGCCUGGUCAGAAAGGAACCUCAAAUUCUAGGAGACUACUAGCACAGCUAUCAAUUAUGGAUGAACAAAAGACUAAGAAAGCAGGAAUAUUCAACGGCGGUUUGUGUCUGCUCACCAGGCUGAAGGAGUCAUAUGUGUUCAUGAGCUCCUCUAUGCGGUACUGCUCCAGCACCACGACGUUGGUCAGGUUGGGGCUACGCUGACGUGCGCAGUCCUCACAGUGAACCACAUAUGUUUUCCUGCUGCUGUUCUCACUUGUCACGAACAACAAAUUGAACACCUCCACCUGUGACAAAAAGGAGAGAACGGGUUAAGUAACAUUCAAGAUAGUUGCAGAACUAACAACCACCAGUUGGUCCCGCAGGAUCUGGAUGUGCUUCAUGGACUGCAGCAGGCAGUGUCUGGCAGAAAGGUGUCUGGGUCUGUGAUCUUCACAGUGCGGGCCACGUUCCAGGACACAUGAAUCAUGGGGACGAUGGAUUUGACCUUCUUUACUUCGUUCCACUCAAACCUCUCCAGGGCCAGCUGGUACUGGCGGCGCGCUUCUUACCAUUGAGAGGUCCGACAUUCCAGGCAAUGUUGUUGCACCAGCCAACAGCCUGAACCCAGUGAACAGUUCCAGCGUUGAUCCACACCAAGUCUCCAGGCCGCUGGAUGAAGCGGUACACAGGGAUGUUGGCGUUGUAGAGGUCCUCCAGGACCGGCCACCAGGACCCUGUCAAGUAGUCCACUCCGUGCCUGAGAACAUUAGGAAAAAGUUGUUAGAGCUGAUGUUUGAGUCUUGAAAGGUGCAGGGUUUAACAUCUAAAAUAAACCUUUCACUCCUACUUGCAUUUAAUAUUGGUAUAUAAGAAGUCAUUGAUGGCUUGCCAGUAGUCCUCAUGGACAGAGAACCACUCGCAGUCUCCGGGGCCGAUGUUGAUAUUCACCGAGCAAAAGUGUCUUCCCACCGGUGCACACAUUAAGGAGUCUCAGUAUCCUUUACCUGGCGUUCGGCUCCCUGGAACCUUCAUGUAGAGCUGGACAGUGUUCAUGCCUAGGAUGGUGUGACCGACAUGGCUCAGCAUGUUUCCACUGGAUGCCACACGCAUAAAUGCUGGCAGCUUCUGCAACUCCUGAAGCUGGGGCUUCCACCUGAGCAGAGACAGCAGAGCCGUCCUUGCUGGACAUAUCAGAACCGAUGGAUGGCUUCUUCUCAUCGUCUUCAUCAUCCUCCUCAUCGCUGCCUUUCUCCUCCUGAAAACAUGGAUUACAACAUGUUCAUCAGCUGGACUGCAGCACAGAAUGCAGAAACACGGGAGUCCCAGAAAAAGUGGAACAUACCUGCAGACUCUCUUGGAAGCUGGAGGCCUGGUACUGGGCGUACUUGGCGAUGGUGGUGUGGGAGCGGCUGCUCUCACAGGGCCACGUCUGACCUGUCCCACUGGGGUCCCAAUUCUCAUCAGCAGGCUGCUGUACCUGAGUCCUGACCUCCACUGCUUGCUCUGAAUUUGCUUCCACCAGUGACUUUGUAGAAAACAGCCCCAGGUCUAAAAUCAGUGAGAGGAGGGAACAUUAGGGCACAUACAUUUGAGGCAGUUAAGCAUUACCUAAUUGCUGAGACUAAAGAGCAGCAGGGAUGAUGCAAGUACAUAGUGCGUCUGUUUGUAACUAAUGAACCAAGAUGUUGGGCAAGACCCUUUUUUAGUAGUGUGAUUUCUCCAGAAGUAUCAGGAAGGCUUUUUACAUGUAAAUAAAUUGAAUGUGUCAGUGUAAACUUACUGAGUCGCAGAGAUCCAGCCAGGCCUCUGAUGACAGUAACAGGAUUCUUGGGGUCUGUACAAAACUGCAGCAGCACAGGGGAGAAGGCAUCCCUCUUACUCUCCAACUACAGAGAAGAAAAAUCCCGUCAGUACACAGUAACAAACUCUUGCAGCUUAUUUGUCUUCAUGCCUGAUGAAUCACCACAAGAGGGCAGCGCAGGCACAGUGUACCUAAAUAUCAACUCUUUAUUCUGUACACUACAUAUGAAGCCAA